rnacentral:rRNA from 1 species
AGUAACACGUAGGGUAAUGUGCCUUUGGUGGGGGAAUAACUUAGGGAAACUUAAGCUAAUACCGCAUAAUGCAGCGGCUCCUAAUGGAGACAGCUGUUAAAGAUUUAUCGCCUAAAGAGCAGCCUGCGGCAGAUUAGCUAGUUGGUAAGGUAAUGGCUUACCAAGGCUACGAUCUGUAUCCGACCUGAGAGGGUGGUCGGACACACUGACACUGAAUAACGGGUCAG